rnacentral:rRNA from 1 species
AACGUAGGUUCCGAGCGUUAUCCGGAUUUACUGGGCGUAAAGCGCGUUCAGGCGGUUUGGCAAGUCGGGCAUGAAAUCUCUCGGCUCAACCGGGAGAGGUUGUCCGAUACUUCCAGACUUGAGGGCAGUAGAGGGUGGUGGAAUUCCGGGUGUAGUGGUGAAAUGCGUAGAUAUCCGGAGGAACACCAGUGGCGAAAGCGGCCGCCUGGACUGCACCUGACGCUGACACGCGAAAGCUAGGGGAGCGAACGGG